rnacentral:rRNA from 1 species
UACAGAGGUCCCGAGCGUUGUUCGGAUUUAUUGGGCGUAAAGGGUGCGUAGGUGGCAAAGUAAGUUGGAUGUGAAAUCCUGGGGCUCAACCUCAGAAUUGCAUUCAAUACUGCUUAGCUAGAGAGCUGUAGAGGAGACUGGAAUUUACGGUGUAGCAGUGAAAUGCGUAGAUAUCGUAAGGAACGCCAGUGGCGAAAGCGAGUCUCUGGGCAGCAUCUGACACUGAGGCACGAAAGCUAGGGGAGCAAACAGG